rnacentral:tRNA from 1 species
UGGCUCAGUGGUUAAAGUGCUUGCCUUGCAAGCAUGAAGGCCUGGGUUCAAAUCCUUG